CUGCCACGCAGAGCUCCCAGUUGGGUACGGCUCUCAAGAGCGGCCUUUACAUCGAGAGGUAUUUAGCUAAACGUGUCGAUGCAGUGAAACGCUGAGAGCGAAAUGCGGUUUCCAUUGUCGGCGGAACUGCACGUGAAGAUUCCGAUACGCUUGCGCCGCUUCCAGUGCGGCUGUAGAGUUUGGUGUAUUCUAGGUUUCAGUAGUACAUUGUAGAUUGUUAUGUAAGGAGUCAAGAUUGAAAAUUAAGGAAAGACGAAGGAAAGUGCUUCGAGCGGAUCUACGAAUUACUUUGAAGAGUUUAAAAGAGAAAUCUGGAGUAAGAAAUGUAAAUAAAUACAGAGUAAACAACAAAUCAACCGUCACACACGUUGCUCUAAUCCCAAAGUAAGAAACUAAAGCCCUUGUGUUAUUGAAAUCGGAAAACGACGUUGUCACAAACACCCAGACCCGAAACAAUAUAGAAAAAAUAGUUUAUCUACAUUGACGCGGUUGGGGUUCGAACCCGGAACCUCUGAGAUGGCAACAUCAUGAAAACCUGUGUGCAGGCCCACAUCGGAAAUCUAAUCUCAAUAAUCAGUAGCACAGCAUAAGGAACAUGAGAGCAUGAACCCCUGCCAAAUAUUCGUCUCGCAAUGUGCAUAAUCCGUUUUGGCUACGGCAAUUGCGCGUGCGCGGCACACUGCUCUAGAAACGCGCAAAGCGGCGCCGGUGCACGCGAUCUGCGAUGGUGAUAGAUUGGAGACCGGUGUU